rnacentral:rRNA from 1 species
AGGACGAACGCUGGCGGCGUGCCUAAUGCACGCAAGUCGAGCGACGAAUAGGUGAGGGUAACCAAGCCUAUUACGGAGCGGCGAACGGGUGAGUAACACGUGAGCAACCUGCCCCGAAGACCGGGAUAGCCCAGGGAAACUUGGAUUAAUACCGGAUAUCCUCUUUUGAUCGCAUGGUCGUUGGAGGAAAUGCUUUUACGCUUCGGGAUGGGCUCGCGGCCUAUCAGCUUGUUGGUGGGGUAACGGCCUACCAAGGCGUCGACGGGUAGCUGGUCUGAGAGGACGAUCAGCCACACUGGGACUGAGACACGGCCCAGACUCCUACGGGAGGCAGCAGCAGGGUAAUUUGCGCAAUGGGCGAAAG